AUGAGGAAAGUGAACUUUUUUGUCACCUGACGUCGAGUAACCUGUCAACAAAAGGACCAAAAAAAAAAGGAUGGGGGUGAUUUGUCAACUUGAAGAAGAAAAGUGAACUCUGAUGUUGUCAAAUAGUUUCUGACUUUGGAGGAAAUCGCCUGUGUGUUCCAAGUCGAUGAUGGGGAAGCGGUGGUAACGCGUUACUGAGCAUCGUUACCGCCCUGCACUGUCCGGAAACUAGCAGAAUGUGAAAUCGAGUGUAGGCUGUAUGCGUUCGCGAUAUGAAGACUCUGGUUGCGUUAAGUAUCAGAGAGCAACCUCUGGAGCACCGACGACAACAAGAAAGAAAGAUCAUAUGCGAGUAGAAAGCGGUGGUUGUGUAAAAAAAAAAAAAAAAAAAAAAAAAAACACCAUCCAAGUUACCCAGUUGGGCUAUGCAAAUGUUUCUGUUCCGUCCAUACGCGCGCACGGACGGAGCGCACCGACCUGUACAGCCUGAUCUAGUUGGAGAGCCCGUCGAACCCAGGCGCUGUUUGCCCUGGAGCUUUUCUAUUUCACUUUAAAGGGAUGCUAGUCGUCCUGACACGUGAGCUGAGCUGAUGAGACGACUUUAUCGCGGAUUUGGAUGAGGGGUUUUCUGUGCGUUAAUGGUCAGGCGUGCGAACUAGGCUAUGGUGCGCUCAGAUGUUUUUUUUUUUUUUUUUUUUUUUUCUUCCUCUCUCGGUCGCUCUGUAUCCACCGCUCCGCCUCCCCCUUUUCGCAACAUUGACGCAACCAAAAAUACUGGAACAAAAGAAACAACUUCCUUGAAGCUUUGCUGAAACUGCACUUAGUCGGAGAAUGGAAGCUUGUUGUCAACUUGCCUUGGGUGGAAAUGUCGAGGUGAGGUUGUCACCAGUGGCCGGUUGGCAGCGACACAGAUGCAUUCGAUCACUCCGAAACGCAUCCGAUGUAUCCAAUGGAGAGCAUCCUUCCCCUGCUGCUAAACAGAGGAGCAAAAUCUGCACAAGAGGCACUAACCGUCUGAACAUCUUUGGGUACAUUAAUAAUAGUUAAAACAGUCUGAACCCCUGUGAGCACAUGUUUUGGACACGAAGCCCGGAGGAUGAAGCAGGGUGUGGAUGACAGAAGAUAACAGCAACAAGAAAGCAGGAGAACACUAAUGUCUGCAGUUCUUGCGAUGCUGUAGCAGCACGGAAUGGUUUGUGGGUUAUACUGAGAUGCAGGCCAUACUGUGCUGCAGCAGUAAAGCCUGAAUACACAACCCGGUUGUCACUGUCCAACCUGUUGCCCGUUUUCAGCCGCGACUAAAACUGACUCCUGUACACGUUGUCUUCACUAACCGGAUCACCGUCCUCGACAAAAAACUGUUUUUUUCCUCAUUUUCUGGUCGCCUUACUGUAGCAGCACGUAAAUAUUGGAGUUAAGACUGUUUGUGAAACCUCCAGUAUUGAUCGUGCUGCUGAAGCAAAGCUGACCACUCACUGAACCGUCUCUAUCGCUGUGACUAACCACUGAAUGUACUCCGACAACACUGCUGCCAACAAUAAUCCGCUUUUAGACGCUUCCAGGUACAUUUACAUCGAGAUCUUGUGUCAAAUAUCAAAUCCUCCCAUGUUUUUAUACUUUCACAUUUCACUGUCAUUUCUAUAUUCGCACUUGGAAAAAAAAUAAAAAUUCAAAUUGG